rnacentral:ncRNA from 2 species
UUCUGGGAGGAUUCAUAGAUUGAGAGCUUUUUCUUGAUUCGGUGGAUUGUGGUGCAUGGCCGUUUUUUGUUGGAGGAGUGAUUUGGCUCCUUAUUUCGAUAACGAGCGAGAUUCUAGCCUAUUAAAUAAGUGCGUGGUUCUCUACACCUUGCAAAAUUCUUAGAGGGACGAGAGGUUCCUAGCUGCACGAAACAGAGCAGUGACAGGUCUGUGAUUCCCUUAUAU